CUUAUCUAUAUCCGAACAAAUCGAAAAAGAAAAAUUCUUGUACAAUGAACGAUAUUUACGCAAAAGUACCCGAAAUGGUUGGACUACUACCCAACAAUAGACUAUUUAAAAAUUAUCCAAAAAUUUACAAGUGCAUAUCUAUAUUGCACAGUUUUUGGAACUUUACUAUAAUAUUACUACCAGCAUAUAAUGAUAUUUAUAACAUUAUUAACGAAGAAUUUUCUCAUAAAGAAAUGCUACUCAGGUUUAUGCUAGUGGUGAGGUUGAUGGUGUACGCAUCUCUUUCAUUUUCCUCAGUGUUUUACAAAAAUGUAUUGUAUCCGGAAAGUUAUGUGGAAUUACAUUAUCACUUUGGUGUAAUUAGUGAUAUAUUAAAAAGGCGUAAAAUUGUUUUAAAGCAAAAUCAAAGUAAAAUCAUAUAUGCUAUAGUUCACACCAUUUUGUUAGUAUAUAUGAUAUACUCAGUAUACAUAUACGAUAGUCUUUAUCCUACUGCAUUUAUGAUAAUUAUCAAUUGGCCGCAUUUUAAUUAUUUGUCGGAAGGCAUAGUUGCCUGGAACAUGUUGGAAAAUGUGCGCGAAUAUUUUAUCAUUUUAAACAAUGCUAUAAUUAAUUUACAAUCUUGUGAAAUGAUGAAAAACCAGCUGAAAAUUAACGAUUUGAUUGAAAUUCACGAGAAUUUGUUAAAGAUUUUAAAGUCAUAUAACAAAAUCUUUGGUAUCAGCGUGGUUUUUAGGAAUCUUAUAUUUGUAGUCGAAGUAUUGUUUACAUCUUUGAAACUAGUAACCAUUCCAGGAGCGGGAAUUUAUUUAGAUCUGUUUGAUUGUUUGGUUGAUAUGUCAAUGUGGUGUUUCCUAAUUUUUAAAUCUCAACAUGUGAUUGACGUUGGAAUGAAAACAAUUUCGUGUUGUUUUAGUACAACAUUGGUUUGGUUACAAAACAAGAAUCAAAAUGAUAAAGACAAUGCAUUUCUAGAUCACUUGAACGAAAGAGUACGUUUACAAGCGCCUCACUUCACUGCUGCAAAGUUUUAUACAGUUGAUCUCGCAACAUUUUUUGUAAUAAUUAACAUGAUGGCAAGUUAUAUUGUCGUAGUAGUGCAAUUUGCUACCGAUACAUAAUUAUAUGCAAUAAAACAUCAAAUAAAUUAUUAUCGAGGAAAA